GAAAUGCGAUAAGUAAUGUGAAUUGCAGAAUUCAGUGAAUCAUCGAAUCUUUGAACGCACCUUGCACCCUUUGGUAUUCCAAAGGGUAUGCUCGUUUGAGUGUCAUUAUACUCUCACACUCUCUAAUUAGUAAUUAGAAAGCGGUGGACUUGGAUGUUGCCUGGUACUUGCUGUCAGGCUCAUCUUAAAUGACUUAGUACGACUCCUAGUUAAACAUAGUACGGCGUUAUAACUAAACCCUCGCUGUUUUUUUUCUUGUCUAAUUAGGAGCUCUGUUGCUUCCAACCGUCUUCGGACAAUUCUGAUAACUUGACCUCAAAUCGAGUAGGAUUACCCGCUGAACUUAA
rnacentral:misc_RNA from 1 species